CCCUUAGAUGUUCUGGGCAGCACGCGCGCUACAAUGGUCUUCGCAAACGGAUGCAUUCUCGAAGGAGAAUGCCAAUCUUGGAAUCUAUGCCUUGGUCGGGACAGUUGCAUGCAAUUUUUCGACUCGAACCAGGAAUUCCUUGUAAUCGUGAUUCAUCACAUCACGAUGAAUACGUCCCUGCCCUUUGUACACACCGCCCGUCGCUCCUACCGAUCGAAGAGUUAGGUGAAUUGUUUUGAUCGAUAAGAUUUGACUAUGGUCAACUCUCGUUGUGAAAUUCUGUGAAUCUGACUGUUUAGAGGAAGGAAAAGUCGUAACA
rnacentral:rRNA from 1 species